ensembl:snRNA
GAAAAGGGCUUCAGUUGUAAGUAGCACAUGUAGAGGAACUUGCUCUUCUUGUGGAAUGUACUUCACAAGAUUUUGGAAGCCUACUUUUUGGGCAGCUGGUGAUUGUUGAUCCCAGCAUCCUU